UGGGUAACCUGCCUCAAAGAGGGGAAUAGCCUCCCGAAAGGGAGAUUAAUACCGCAUAAUAUGUUUAGGUCGCAUGACUUUAACAUCAAAGGAUUUUCUUUUAGAAAUUCCACUUUGAGAUGGACCCGCGGCGCAUUAGCUAGUUGGUGAGGUAACGGCUCACCAAGGCAACGAUGCGUAGCCGACCUGAGGGGGUGAUCGGCCACAUUGGAGCUGAGACACGGUCCAGACUCCUAGGAGG
rnacentral:rRNA from 1 species